ensembl:lncRNA novel transcript, sense intronic to RBFOX3
ACACCGUGAAUGUGGGAUGGAGAAUCAGUAUCCCCCGCAGCGGGCUCCUUUUGGGGCUGUGAUGUUUUAUAGCCUGGCAAGGGAAUGCCAAGACUCCCUGAGGGUCUGGCUCACUUUAUCAGGGUCCCGCUGCUUGAGAGCAGGAGCCUGGGAGGCGAGGUGUGUAGACGCCCCAGCCGGGGCCCCUCGAGGCUGCAGUCGGGCUGAGGCAUUCAUUCCUCCGCAGGGGCCCCGGGGCGGGAGCAGCGGGAGCAUGGCCAUGUCGGCUGCUUGCUUUCUCCUGCUGCCUGGCUCUCUCUGUUCCCCUCCUGACCCCCUUCUGCCUCUCCUGCGUUCCCCUUCCUCACUCCCCUCCUUCACCUUCAGAGCCAGCGGACUUCUCCAGGCUGCACGCAGGCGAGGGGCUGGCAAUUGCAGGUCAAGCAGGCUCAGCUCGGAGCAGCGGGAGGAAAGAUUUACGGUUCCUCCCUGCCCUGCUUGAUGGACAAUUAAAGCCGUGCAUGGUUGGAGGAGAGCAGUGUCGUGAAGAGUCAGGAUGGUCAGAAUAAAUCAGUCACCUCCACUUAGACGGCUGAGCUAGACUGCUUCCCCGGGCCUUCGAGGUGGGAGCCCCCUGGGGUGUGGCUUUGAAGGUUCCUGAAUGGACUGUUCAAGGGUUUGACAUACUCUGAGCUCCAUCAGAGUCAGAGCCUGAAGACCCCGGGGGUCUCCUCACAAAUGGGGCAUGUGCUGUAGGGAAUUAAGGGAAAAUUCUGGAUAAUGUGUUUAGAGGGCGUUUUGUCUCCAUGGUAUCUGGCAUUUGCAAGAGCCUCAAACCUGAAUGUUUGGAAGUCAGGAUAGUGGACCCCCACCUGCAAGCAGAGCUUGUGCACAUGUAUGUGUGCACAGGUGCGUGCAUAUCAGUGCACACAUGCACACGUGUAGAUUGUACAUGCAUGUGCCUGUGUGUAGAGUGUGCACACAGGCAUGCAUGUGCAUCCUGUAUGUGUGCAUGUGUGUGCAUGUAUGUGCACAUGCACAAGUGUGUUUCUGCAUUUGUGUACCCACAUGUACCUGUGUGCGUGCAUGAGCAUAUGUGUGUCGUACAUGUGUGAGCACAUGUGUGUGUCAUGUAUUGGUACUGGUGCUUGCCUCUUGGACAUCGCAGGCUCCACUUGUGUCUUUAAACACACACGCCCCUCUGCAAGGCUGCCGGGAGCUGGGCUUCUGAGCAUCCACCAAGCCCUGCGGCCGUCCUUCUUCAUUUGUUCUGUGUGUUAUUUCAGUACCUUGAAGACUCUGGCAAUUUCCUCAAGGAAACUUUGUCUUUGUGGAAAUGAGAUGCCAGCACUCCUCGGCCCUCCCACUGGCUAAUUGAUGAUAUGAUCCCGCGUGGGAGACUUGCCAUUCCUGGAAAUGCUCUUUAUUUCCUGGGCCCCCCCUGCCCCCUGCCCGCCAUCGUCUGAUUUCUACGAGCUGCUGCAUGUGAGGUGCAGGGCCAGGCAUUUGCUGUGACUCAGCCCAUGUGCCAGGCCUUUCAUUAACUUGGAUACUACAAUUAUGUGUGCCAAGAGACUGCGAGGGCCAUUUAGGAUUUUUCUCCCUUUAAGAAAAUAUUCCUUUUUCCCCAGCCAGGUAGCCCAGCCCUUUGCCUCUGCAGCUGUGGCCCAAGCACUCCUCAGCUCUCCCGGCACCAACCUGCAACAAACUCUUGUUGGGGGGCUGCGGCUCCGCCAUGGUUCUGUCGGAGGUGCUCAGUGGGUGGUCAAGGCAGCCUGCCCUUGGGAGCCGCAAGACGUGGCCUGCUGCGGUGGCUUCACGGUCACGGCACGAAUAGCAGCGUGCGUGCUUUUGUGCCUGUGUGAGCACAUGUACACCCCAUCGGCACACGCGAGGAUGACCUUUGGCACAGAACACCUGCUGCUGUGGCCUGCACAGAGAAGGGCUGACCCCAGGACAGCGGCUCCCAUUCGCCUCCACCAAGGCCAGCUGGACCCUUCAAGGGACCCUGAGAAUCUCCGAGUGUGGGCAGUGGGGUCGUGUCGUGCGGGGGUGGAGUUGCACGGGUCUCCUGUGCACCUACACAUGCGUGCUGGCCAGCAUAUUAGUAUGUUCGCAGGGGUAGCCUGACCCUCUUCCCCCACUUAGGAGAUGCGUGCGUGGAAACUUGCCCCCGUGGGUGUCUUGGGAUGAAUAUUUGGGAUCCUGGUGGAUCUGGAUUGCAGAGUAGCUGGGCACUGUAAGAGUUCCUGUAAAUGUUGGGUCUCCUGGGGAGGGGGAGGCAUGGAGCACUUCUCACUUCUGUGGGUGGGUGGAAGGUUGGGGAGGGGCCACACUGGCUCAAGAUCACCCCACAGGGAGCAACCUAAUCUGAGGACAGACCUGCCUGGGACUCUGUGGAACUGAGAUGAGACACUUGCUUCCCCCUUCAAAGGUCAUGAGAUUCUGGGGACACGGGCUGCCUUCCAUACGGUACCCACAAAGCUCAUUAAAAGCACCAUUCAGAGGCCUCGUUAUCUCAAAAAGGAAGGCAAGAGUCCAACCCACUAAGCACCAAAUAACAACUCAACAACUCAAAAACUUAUUUUUUUAAACUUCCUGGAGUUGCCAUGGUUACUUGCACGGUCCCUGCGUCUCUGUUGCUCUACGUGGAGCUGCUUGGAGGAGGAAUUAAAGCCUCCAAGGUUCACCCCUUG